CAAUAGCGUAUAUUUAAGUUGUUGCAGUUAAAAAGCUCGUAGUUGGAUUUCUGCUGAUCGCUGUCGGUCUGCCGUCAGGUGUGUACUGGCAGUGUUUGGCAUCUAUUCGAGAUUGGGUGUCCACUUGAUUGUGUGCACUCGAUGUCGGAGCUAAUACUUUGAGAAAAUUAGAGUGUUCCACGCAGGCGCGUGCCCUGAAUACUGCAGCAUGGGAUAUUGGAAGGCCGAUUGAGCUUUCUUGUUGGUCCUCGGUUUGAUCGGAAUGAUUAAUAGGGAUAGUUGGGGGCAUUCGUAUUCAACUGUCAGAGGUGAAAUUCUUGGAUUUGUUGAAGACGGACUACUGCGAAAGCAUCUGCCAUGGAUGUUCUCAUUG
rnacentral:rRNA from 1 species